rnacentral:rRNA from 1 species
UACGGAGGGUGCGAGCGUUGUCCGGAAUCACUGGGCGUAAAGGGCGCGUAGGCGGCGCGGGCAGUCAACGGUGAAAGCUUGGGGCUCAACCCCGAGUCGGCCGUCGAUACUCCCGGGCUGGAGCACUGUAGAGGCAGGUGGAAUUCCGGGGUGUAGCGGUGGAAUGCGUAGAGAUCCGGAAGAACACCGGUGGCGAAGGCGGCCUGCUGGGCAGUAGCUGACGCUGAGGCGCGACAGCGUGGGGGAGCAAACAGG